rnacentral:rRNA from 1 species
UACAGAGGUCCCGAGCGUUGUUCGGAUUCAUUGGGCGUAAAGGGUGCGCAGGCGGCGAGGCAAGUCGGACGUGAAAUCUCGGGGCUUAACCCCGAAACUGCGUUCGAUACUGCCUUGCUUGAGGACUGGAGAGGAGACUGGAAUUCCUGGUGUAGCAGUGAAAUGCGUAGAUAUCAGGAGGAACGCCAAUGGCGAAGGCAAGUCUCUGGACAGUUCCUGACGCUCAUGCACGAAGGCCAGGGGAGCAAACGGG